UACGUAGGUGGCGAGCGUUAUCCGGAAUGAUUGGGCGUAAAGCGAGUGCAGGCGGUUCAAUAAGUCUGAUGUGAAAGCCUUCGGCUCAACCGGAGAAUUGCAUCAGAAACUGUUGAACUUGAGUGCAGAAGAGGAGAGUGGAACUCCAUGUGUAGCGGUGGAAUGCGUAGAUAUAUGGAAGAACACCAGUGGCGAAGGCGGCUCUCUGGUCUGCAACUGACGCUGAGGCUCGAAAGCAUGGGUAGCGAACAGG
rnacentral:rRNA from 1 species